AGCCAAGUGACUGCACAGGAGCAGUAACACUGGUCUCAUGCUAACAGUGCCAUGUUUGGAGCUUUUGCAUACACUGAAUGGAACCAAUCUACCACUGUACGAGCCACAAGGAAUAUAAAAAGAUCUGCUGCAUAGCUUAUUAAAAAAGGAGUGUCUAGUGAAAACAACCUCUAUCUAUAUGGCCUAUUAGUACGCAUGAAUGUCUAGCACAGAUUCACUUUCAGGAUAAUGUUUAUAGAUAUAAAGCAACCCCAAUACCUGUUAAAAACUUUGAACACAUACACUGGAUAUGAUGUUGACAUGGUGCUUUUUAUAGUCCCUAUUCCAUUAGGUUUAAGCUGUCAUGUGUUAGGUGUGAGGAUGAUUUGGAGACUGAAAAGGUAUUUUCAGUAUUUGUGAAAGUUACACAUCCCAUUACCUACUAUCAUACUUUCUAAGGGCAAAGCGACAGGAACAACCACCGGAUGAGGGCAUUAUAACUGAUUAUAAUCUGUGAGUGAAAAAAAAAGUCAUCACAACAUACGGUACCUCUUCCGGCAAGCUGACGACCAAUCCAUGAUCCGUUGGCCCAACCAGCACUUGUAGGAAGUACUCACUACAAGCAGCCAGAACUGCACGAUGGGCUCGAAACUCCUUUCCUUCCACAACUAAAGUGACAUCAC